rnacentral:lncRNA from 1 species
ACCAUCAAUUUGAUUAUUAAAACAUUGCUCUCUAAUCUCUUUUUAUAUUUUAGCUCUAUAGUUCUCUAUCCUCUUACCCCCAAAGCUAAUUUUCAACUAUUUUCGUCAAGGCUACCUAUUCUUUUUUUUUUUUCGCUCAGUCAACAAUUACAAUUUUCAGCAUUUGCAAAAAAUGCUAACAUACUACUAGAGCAAUUUUAACCCCAACACUAGAGACCCUCACCCCAUUACAAAAACUAGAGCAAUUUUAACAUACUAUUUUCGUCUAAGGCUACCUAUU